GAAGUAUUUUGAAGAGCUUUUAGCCACUAGACAAUGCGAUGGCAUCAAAGUUAAACCUACUCCACGUUAUGGAAAAGGGGUUUAUGCUGAGACGGAUUUCAAAGAAGAGGACCUUGUCUUGAAGGAUCAAAUGCUUGCUGGUGCCCAACAUCCUUCAAAUAAGGUAGACUGCUUGGUAUGUAGUUAUUGUUUCUGCUUUGUUGGGUCUAUAGAGCUUCAAAUUGGGAGGAAGCUAUAUUUAGAACAGCUGGGAGUCUCCCCUAUCGAUGAGUGUCAUAUGCAAAAAGAUUGUUAUAACUCUGAUUCAUCUGUUGGUGAAGAUGAUUCUGAUGUAGAAGAUCAGCAGGUCUCUGGAGAAUGUGCUUCUAGCCCUUCAAAAGAUAAAAUUUCUCUCCCUAAGGAUGUGGUCGAGUCAUUGUUUA
rnacentral:misc_RNA from 1 species